AUAUUUAGUGUAAAUCCAAACAGCAACGCUCCUGAGUUUGUGUCCCACGUCACCUUCAGUCCGCUCAGAGCAGAGGAAUCAUUUCCAUAGAGAGGAGGCUUUGCAUCGUCAGCUGAUCCUCCACUGAACUGAGAAGCUUUAUAGUCCUGUGACUCCAACUCUGCAGGACUCAGACCCGUCAGUCCACCACAACCACCAUGACUCUCAUCACCCUCCUCAUCUGGACGCUGGCCUGCUGCAGCUUCACAGGAUGCAGCGGCCAGGUGACUGUGACUCAGCCUCCAGUCGUGACAUUUACUCCAGGAUCCACUGUCACACUGACCUGUAACACCAACCCCGGUAUUUAUAGUAAUGAUAUGUCCUGGUACCAGCAGAAACCUGGACAAACUCCGAAGCUUCUUAUAUACGAUAUAUCAACUCUAUAUUCAGGAACUCCCUCUCGAUUCAGUGGCACUGGCAGUAACUCUGGUUCUAGCUUCACCUUAACCAUCAGAGGUGUUCAGGCUGAAGAUGUUGGAGAUUAUUACUGUCAGAGCGUCCAUUAUUUAAACGGAGCAUAUGUGUCCACACAGUGAUUUAGAGCCGUACAAAAACCUCCCUCCGUUUGACUGAAGUGAAACUGGUCUGCUGCAGCUGCACAGAGAAUAACUGGUCCAGUGAACACAACACAAGUCUUCAAGCAGAGCGACAUGAAGAUAAACACAACUGAAACAAACUCCCAGUUUUAAAUGUUCAGAAAUCUCCAAACAAUGCCCCAUGAAACCAACUUUUAGUUAAAACCUAAAACGGCUUAA